AACUUUUGGCUACCCCUUAAAGGCGUAAAAUUGACCCGUUAUUGAGAACCUCCACGAUCUGUCAAAUAACGGGUCAUUUUGUCGGGUCAAUAUUACCCCUUAUUUCGAAAAGCUUGAGUCCACUUCAAAGGGGUAGGUUUAGAUGUUGUUACAUGCAUAACGUUGCUAUUCGUCCGGCAAAUUGCCAGCGAUGAGAAAGAUUGGCUGCACAGUUCAGAAUGAGCGCGACGACAGUAAGCCGAUAUUUGAAACUCGAUUCGUGGCGGACUAACAUUCAGGAUAAAUUUAAAUUUUCAAAUAAUUUAAAGUUUUUAAAAUAUUAUUGUCAUUUAAAUAAAUAAACACAUAAAACAUGA